AAUCCUCCUCCCAUUACCUCGUUUAUGCCAUCUACCCUUUAUGCUCGAACACCGUAGUGUUCCCCCCGUAAGGCUUAGAGCUUCAUCCGUUGCAAUAACUAACAUGCUCACUCCCCAUUUCCCAUCAUAACUUCAUCCAUCCCAUUAAGGUUUAUUCAUAGUUAUCUUGAAAUACAUGCAUCUAAUCAUCAUCUAUCUUAAAG
rnacentral:lncRNA from 1 species